UACGGGGGGAGCAAGCGUUGUUCGGAUUUACUGGGCGUAAAGGGCGCGUAGGCGGCCAGCACAAGUCAGUUGUGAAAUCUCCGGGCUUAACUCGGAAAGGUCAACUGAUACUGCGCGGCUAGAGUGCAGAAGGGGCAACUGGAAUUCUCGGUGUAGCGGUGAAAUGCGUAGAUAUCGAGAGGAACACCUGCGGCGAAGGCGGGUUGCUGGGCUGACACUGACGCUGAUGCGCGAAAGCCAGGGGAGCGAACGGG
rnacentral:rRNA from 1 species